rnacentral:rRNA from 1 species
GACGAACGCUGGCGGCGUGCUUAACACAUGCAAGUCGAGCGGUAAGGCCUUUCGGGGUACACGAGCGGCGAACGGGUGAGUAACACGUGGGUGAUCUGCCCUGCACUUCGGGAUAAGCCUGGGAAACUGGGUCUAAUACCGGAUAUGACCUCCUAUCGCAUGGUGGGUGGUGGAAAGAUUUAUCGGUGCAGGAUGGGCCCGCGGCCUAUCAGCUUGUUGGUGGGGUAAUGGCCUACCAAGGCGACGACGGGUAGCCGACCUGAGAGGGUGACCGGCCACACUGGGACUGAGACACGGCCCAGACUCCUACGGGAGGCAGCAGUGGGGAAUAUUGCACAAUGGGCGAAAGCCUGAUGCAGCGACGCCGCGUGAGGGAUGACGGCCUUCGGGUUGUAAACCUCUUUCAGCAGGGACGAAGCGCAAAUGACGGUACCUGCAGAAGAAGCACCGGCUAACUACGUG